GAGAGAGGCUUGACAGCAACGACGACUGCUAAUCCUCACCACCCAGGUUUGAUUCCCGGGCUCCCUCG
rnacentral:tRNA from 1 species